rnacentral:snRNA from 2 species
AUACCUUUCUCGGCCUUUUGACAAAGAUCAUGUGUAGUAUCUGUUUUUAUCAGUUUAAUAUCCUAUAUGUGGGCCAUAGGUCCACAUGAUAUUAAAUUAAUUUUUUUAAAGGGAGAGCCCACCUCAGUAGCUUGCUAUUGGGGCUCUCAAGCGUCGCCCAAGUGUUGCACCACAGCUCGGGCCUGGCGCACCCCAC